UACGAAGGGUGCAAGCGUUACUCGGAAUUACUGGGCGUAAAGGGUGCGUAGGUGGUUUUUUAAGUCCGUUGUGAAAUCCCUGGGCUCAACCUGGGAAUGGCAGUGGAUACUGGAAAGCUAGAGUGCGGUAGAGGGUAGUGGAAUUCCCGGUGUAGCGGUGAAAUGCGUAGAGAUCGGGAGGAACACCGGUGGCGAAGGCGGCUACCUGGACCAGCACUGACACUGAGGCACGAAAGCGUGGGGAGCAAACAGG
rnacentral:rRNA from 1 species